rnacentral:rRNA from 1 species
AACGAACGCUGGCGGCAGGCCUAACACAUGCAAGUCGAACGCUGUAGCAAUACAGAGUGGCAGACGGGUGAGUAACGCGUGGGAACCUACCCUUUGGUUCGGAAUAGCUCAGGGAAACUUGAGGUAAUACCGGAUAAGCCCUUCGGGGGAAAGAGUUAUCGCCAAAGGAUGGGCCCGCGUCGGAUUAGCUAGUUGGUGGGGUAACGGCCUACCAAGGCGACGAUCCGUAGCUGGUCUGAGAGGAUGAUCAGCCACACUGGGACUGAGACACGGCCCAGACUCCUACGGGAGGCAGCAGUGGGGAAUAUUGGACAAUGGGGGCAACCCUGAUCCAGCCAUGCCGCGUGAGUGACGAAGGUCUUCGGAUUGUAAAGCUCUUUUGGCGGGGAAGAUAAUGACGGUACCCGCAGAAUAAGCCCCGGCUAACUUCGUGCCAGCCGCCGCAGUAA